UAAGUUCGAAUUCGAGAAAGG
rnacentral:piRNA from 1 species